rnacentral:rRNA from 1 species
ACGAGCGCGAGUCUUUGGGCCACCUCCCAUCCGUGUCUAUUGUACCCUGUUGCUUCGGCGGGCCCGCCGCUUGUCGGCCGCCGGGGGGGCGCCUCUGCCCCCCGGGCCCGUGCCCGCCGGAGACCCCAACACGAACACUGUCUGAAAGCGUGCAGUCUGAGUUGAUUGAAUGCAAUCAGUUAAAACUUUCAACAAUGGAUCUCUUGGUUCCGGCAUCGAUGAAGAACGCAGCGAAAUGCGAUAACUAAUGUGAAUUGCAGAAUUCAGUGAAUCAUCGAGUCUUUGAACGCACAUUGCGCCCCCUGGUAUUCCGGGGGGCAUGCCUGUCCGAGCGUCAUUGCUGCCCUCAAGCCCGGCUUGUGUGUUGGGUCGCCGUCCCCCUCUCCGGGGGGACGGGCCCGAAAGGCAGCGGCGGCACCGCGUCCGAUCCUCGAGCGUAUGGGGCUUUGUCACAUGCUCUGUAGGAUUGGCCGGCGCCUGCCGACGUUUUCCAACCAUUCUUUCCAGGUUGACCUCGGAUCAGGUAGGGAUACCCGCUGAACUUAAGCAUAUCAAUAA